rnacentral:rRNA from 1 species
AAGACCUUGCACUUUUGGAGUGGCCGAUGUCUGAUUAGCUAGUUGGUGGGGUAAUGGCCUACCAAAGCUUCGAUCAGUAGCUGGUCUGAGAGGACGGCCAGCCACACUGGGACUGAGACACGGCCCAGACUCCUACGGGAGGCAGCAGUGGGGAAUUUUGGACAAUGGGCGCAAGCCUGAUCCAGCCAUGCCGCGUGAGUGAAGAAGGCCUUCGGGUUGUAAAGCUCUUUCAGCCGGGAAGAAAAGGUUGCGAUUAAUAAUCGCAAUUUAUGACGGUACCGGAAGAAGAAGCACCGGCUAACUACGUGCCAGCAGCCGCGGUAAUACGUAGGGUGCGAGCGUUAAUCGGAAUUACUGGGCGUAAAGGGUGCGCAGGCGGUUUUGUAAGUCAGAUGUGAAAUCCCCGGGCUUAACCUGGGAACU